CAGCCGCCGCGGGAAUACGAAGGGGGCUAGCGUUGUUCGGAAUUACUGGGCGUAAAGCGCGUGUAGGCGGGCUUUUAAGUCAGGGGUGAAAUGCCAAGGCUCAACCUUGGAACUGCCUUUGAUACUGGAAGUCUUGAGUCCGGGAGAGGUGAGUGGAACUGCGAGUGUAGAGGUGAAAUUCGUAGAUAUUCGCAAGAACACCAGUGGCGAAGGCGGCUCACUGGCCCGGAACUGACGCUGAGACGCGAAAGCGUGGGGAGCAAACAGGAUUAGAUACCCGUGUAGUCCCUGUCUCUUAUAC
rnacentral:rRNA from 1 species